UACAGAGGGGGCAAGCGUUAUUCGGAAUUAUUGGGCGUAAAGGGCGCGUAGGCGGCCUGGCAAGUGGAAGGUGAAAUCCCUCGGCUUAACCGAGGAACUGCCCUCCAAACUGCUGUGACUCGAGUCCGGUAGGGGAGUGUGGAAUUCCCGGUGUAGCGGUGAAAUGCGCAGAUAUCGGGAGGAACACCAGUAGCGAAGGCGGCACUCUGGGCCGGAACUGACGCUGAGGAGCGAAAGCGUGGGGAGCGAACAGG
rnacentral:rRNA from 1 species